AACAUAUAAGUAAAUGAUUCCCUCCCCCACACUUAAGACACACAUUAUCCUCAAUGAAAGAAUAUAAGUAUAAAAUAAGAGAGAAGAGAGCUAGGAAAGAACACACUCGAGGAGUCAAGGUGAAUAGAUUACCGCAUAAACAACCUUCUUAAAGAGAUCUCUUUUACAAUAUCUUCUUCAAAGUGGGGAUCUCACGGAG
rnacentral:lncRNA from 1 species